rnacentral:rRNA from 1 species
GGAGGUUAGUGCAAUGGCAUAAGCCAGCUUGACUGCGAGCGUGACGGCGCGAGCAGGUGCGAAAGCAGGUCAUAGUGAUCCGGUGGUUCUGAAUGGAAGGGCCAUCGCUCAACGGAUAAAAGGUACUCCGGGGAUAACAGGCUGAUACCGCCCAAGAGUUCAUAUCGACGGCGGUGUUUGGCACCUCGAUGUCGGCUCAUCACAUCCUGGGGCUGAAGUAGGUCCCAAGGGUAUGGCUGUUCGCCAUUUAAAGUGGUACGCGAGCUGGGUUUAGAACGUCGUGAGACAGUUCGGUCCCUAUCUGCCGUGGGCGCUGGAGAACUGAGGGGGGCUGCUCCUAGUACGAGAGGACCGGAGUGGACGCAUCACUGGUGUUCGGGUUGUCAUGCCAAUGGCACUGCCCGGUAGCUAAAUGCGGAAGAGAUAAGUGCUGAAAGCAUCUAAGCACGAAACUUGCCCCGAGAUG